GUUACCGUACACACAGUCCCCGUUCCCCGUGUCCCACACUCGGAGUUACCGUACACACAGUCCCCGUGUCCCACACUCGGAGUUACCGUGCACACAGUCCCCGGUCUCCGUGUCCCACACUCGGAGUUACCGUACACACAGUCCCCGUUCCCCGUGUCCCACACUCGGAGUUACCGUAC